CAUGUCUUUUUGAUGAUAAUUUAAAGUCUGACCUGCUCAAUGAAUUUUUAAAUUGCCGCAGUAUUUUGACUGUGCAAAGGUAGCAUAAUAAUUAGUUUUUUUAUUGAAAGCUGGAAUGAAUGGUUGGACAAGAAAAUCUCUGUCUCUUUGUAAUUUUUUUUUGAAAUUAAUUUUUAAGUUCAAAAGCUUAAAUUUUUUUAAAAGACGAGAAGACCCUAUAGAGUUUUAUUUUUCUUUAAUUUUUUAUUUUUAGGAAUUUAAUUUUUUAAUUUUUUGAAAAAUUUGGUUGGGGUGACUUGAAGAUUUAAUUAACUCUUUAAAUUGAUAUCAUUGAUUUGUGAAUUUUGAAUCUAUAUUUUUAAUUAUAAAAUAAAUUACCUUAGGGAUAACAGCGUUAUUUUUCUUUAGAGUUCUUAUUGAAAGAAAAGUUUGCGACCUCGAUGUUGGAUUAAAAUUUGCUUUUGGUGUAGCAGCUAUUUAGCUAAGUCUGUUCGACUUUUAAAAUUUUACAUGAUCUGAGU
rnacentral:rRNA from 1 species